rnacentral:rRNA from 1 species
GAUGAACGCUGGCGGCGUGCCUAAUACAUGCAAGUCGAGCGAACGGACGAGAAGCUUGCUUCUCUGAUGUUAGCGGCGGACGGGUGAGUAACACGUGGAUAACCUACCUAUAAGACUGGGAUAACUUCGGGAAACCGGAGCUAAUACCGGAUAAUAUUUUGAACCGCAUGGUUCAAAAGUGAAAGACGGUCUUUCUGUCACUUAUAGAUGGAUCCGCGCUGCAUUAGCUAGUUGGUAAGGUAACGGCUUACCAAGGCAACGAUGCAUAGCCGACCUGAGAGGGUGAUCGGCCACACUGGAGCUGAGACACGGUCCAGACUCCUACGGGAGGCAGCAGUAGGGAAUCUUCCGCAAUGGGCGAAAGCCUGACGGAGCAACGCCGCGUGAGUGAUGAAGGUCUUCGGAUCGUAAAACUCUGUUAUUAGGGAAGAACAUAUGUGUAAGUAACUGUGCACAUCUUGACGGUACCUAAUCAGAAAGCCACGGCUAACUACGUG